AGUGAACGCUGGCGGCAGGCCUAACACAUGCAAGUCGAACGGCAGCACAGUAAGAGCUUGCUCGUACGGGUGGCGAGUGGCGGACGGGUGAGGAAUACAUCGGAAUCUACUUUUUCGUGGGGGGUAACGUAGGGAAAAUUACGCUAAUACAGCAUACGACCUACGGGUGAAAGCAGGGGAUCUUCGGACCUUGCGCGAUUGAAUGAGGCGAUGUCGGAUUAGCUAGUUGGCGGGGUAAAGGCCCACCAAGGCGACGAUCCGUAGCUGGUCUGACAGGAUGAUCAGCCACACUGGAACUGAGACACGGUCCAGACUCCUACGGGAGGCAGCAGUGGGGAAUAUUGGACAAUGGGCGCAAGCCUGAUCCAGCCAUGCCGCGUGGGUGAAGAAGGCCUUCGGGUUGUAAAGCCCUUUUGUUGGGAAAGAAAAGCUGUAGGUUAAUACCCCGCUGUUCUGACGGUACCCAAAGAAUAAGCACCGGCUAACUUCGUG
rnacentral:rRNA from 1 species